rnacentral:rRNA from 1 species
AGACCCGAAACCCGGUGAUCUAGCCAUGGGCAGGUUGAAGGUUGGGUAACACUAACUGGAGGACCGAACCGACUAAUGUUGAAAAAUUAGCGGAUGACCUGUGGCUGGGGGUGAAAGGCCAAUCAAACCGGGAGAUAGCUGGUUCUCCCCGAAAGCUAUUUAGGUAGCGCCUCGUGAAUUCAUCUCCGGGGGUAGAGCACUGUUUCGGCUAGGGGGCCAUCCCGGCUUACCAACCCGAUGCAAACUGCGAAUACCGGAGAAUGUUAUCACGGGAGACACACGGCGGGUGCUAACGUCCGUCGUGAAGAGGGAAACAACCCAGACCGCCAGCUAAGGUCCCAAAGUCAUGGUUAAGUGGGAAACGAUGUGGGAAGGCCCAGACAGCCAGGAUGUUGGCUUAGAAGCAGCCAUCAUUUAAAGAAAGCGUAAUAGCUCACUGGUCGAGUCGGCCUGCGCGGAAGAUGUAACGGGGCUAAACCAUGCACCGAAGCUGCGGCAGCGACGCUGAUGCGUUGUUGGGUAGGGGAGCGUUCUGUAAGCCUGCGAAGGUGUGUCGUGAGGCAUGCUGGAGGUAUCAGAAGUGCGAAUGCUGACAUAAGUAACGAUAAAGCGGGUGAAAAGCCCGCUCGCCGGAAGACCAAGGGUUCCUGUCCAACGUUAAUCGGGGCAGGGUGAGUCGACCCCUAAGGCGAGGCCGAAAGGCGUAGUCGAUGGGAAACGGGUUAAUAUUCCCGUACUUGGUGUUACUGCGAAGGGGGGACGGAGAAGGCUAUGUUGGCCGGGCGACGGUUGUCCCGGUUUAAGCGUGUAGGUGUGUGUUCCAGGUAAAUCCGGUUCACUUUAACACUGAGGCGUGAUGACGAGGCACUACGGUGCUGAAGCAACAAAUGCCCUGCUUCCAGGAAAAGCCUCUAAGCAUCAGGUAACAUCAAAUCGUACCCCAAACCGACACAGGUGGUCAGGUAGAGAAUACCAAGGCGCUUGAGAGAACUCGGGUGAAGGAACUAGGCAAAAUGGUGCCGUAACUUCGGGAGAAGGCACGCUGACACGUAGGUGAAGUGAUUUACUCAUGGAGCUGAAGUCAGUCGAAGAUACCAGCUGGCUGCAACUGUUUAUUAAAAACACAGCACUGUGCAAACACGAAAGUGGACGUAUACGGUGUGACGCCUGCCCGGUGCCGGAAGGUUAAUUGAUGGGGUCAGCGCAAGCGAAGCUCCUGAUCGAAGCCCCGGUAAACGGCGGCCGUAACUAUAACGGUCCUAAGGUAGCGAAAUUCCUUGUCGGGUAAGUUCCGACCUGCACGAAUGGCGUAAUGAUGGCCAGGCUGUCUCCACCCGAGACUCAGUGAAAUUGAACUCGCUGUGAAGAUGCAGUGUACCCGCGGCAAGACGGAAAGACCCCGUGAACCUUUACUAUAGCUUGACACUGAACAUUGAGCCUUGAUGUGUAGGAUAGGUGGGAGGCUUUGAAGUGUGGACGCCAGUCUGCAUGGAGCCGGCCUUGAAAUACCACCCUUUAAUGUUUGAUGUUCUAACGUGGACCCGUGAUCCGGGUUGCGGACAGUGUCUGGUGGGUAGUUUGACUGGGGCGGUCUCCUCCUAAAGAGUAACGGAGGAGCACGAAGGUUGGCUAAUCCUGGUCGGACAUCAGGAGGUUAGUGCAAUGGCAUAAGCCAGCUUGACUGCGAGCGUGACGGCGCGAGCAGGUGCGAAAGCAGGUCAUAGUGAUCCGGUGGUUCUGAAUGGAAGGGCCAUCGCUCAACGGAUAAAAGGUACUCCGGGGAUAACAGGCUGAUACCGCCCAAGAGUUCAUAUCGACGGCGGUGUUUGGCACCUCGAUGUCGGCUCAUCACAUCCUGGGGCUGAAGUAGGUCCCAAGGGUAUGGCUGUUCGCCAUUUAAAGUGGUACGCGAGCUGGGUUUAGAACGUCGUGAGACAGUUCGGUCCCUAUCUGCCGUGGGCGCUGGAGAACUGAGGGGGGCUGCUCCUAGUACGAGAGGACCGGAGUGGACGCAUCACUGGUGUUCGGGUUGUCAUGCCAAUGGCACUGCCCGGUAGCUAAAUGCGGAAGAGAUAAGUGCUGAAAGCAUCUAAGCACGAAACUUGCCCCGAGAUGAGUUCUCCCUGAGACUU